rnacentral:rRNA from 1 species
CGGCAACGGAUAUCUCGGCUCUCGCAUCGAUGAAGAACGUAGCGAAAUGCGAUACUUGGUGUGAAUUGCAGAAUCCCGUGAACGAGUCUUUGAACGCAAGUUGCGCCCGAAGCCAUCAGGCCGAGGGCACGCCUGCCUGGGCGUCACACGCCGUUGCCCCC